UACGUAGGGGGCAAGCGUUGUCCGGAUUUACUGGGCGUAAAGCGCGCGUAGGCGGCAGUUCAAGUCUGGCCUGAAAGCCCCCGGCUCAACCGGGGAGUGGGGCUGGAAACUGGGCUUCUUGAGGGCGAUAGAGGAGUGUGGAAUUCCUGGUGUAGCGGUGAAAUGCGUAGAGAUCAGGAGGAACACCCGUGGCGAAGGCGGCACGCUGGGACGGUACUGACGCUGAGACGCGAAAGCGUGGGGAGCGAACAGG
rnacentral:rRNA from 1 species